CGGACGGGUGAGUAACGCGUGGGUAACCUGCCUUAUACAGGGGGAUAACAGUCAGAAAUGACUGCUAAUACCGCAUAAGCGCACAGGACCGCAUGGUCUGGUGUGAAAAACUCCGGUGGUAUAAGAUGGACCCGCGUUGGAUUAGCUUGUUGGUGAGGUAACGGCUCACCAAGGCGACGAUCCAUAGCCGGCCUGAGAGGGUGAACGGCCACAUUGGGACUGAGACACGGCCCAG
rnacentral:rRNA from 1 species